rnacentral:rRNA from 1 species
GACGAACGCUGGCGGCGUGCUUAACACAUGCAAGUCGAACGGAAAGGCCCUGCUUUUGUGGGGUGCUCGAGUGGCGAACGGGUGAGUAACACGUGAGUAACCUGCCCUUGACUUUGGGAUAACUUCAGGAAACUGGGGCUAAUACCGGAUAGGAGCUCCUGCUGCAUGGUGGGGGUUGGAAAGUUUCGGCGGUUGGGGAUGGACUCGCGGCUUAUCAGCUUGUUGGUGGGGUAGUGGCUUACCAAGGCUUUGACGGGUAGCCGGCCUGAGAGGGUGACCGGCCACAUUGGGACUGAGAGACGGCCCAGACUCCUACGGGAGGCAGCAGUGGGGAAUAUUGCACAAUGGGCGGAAGCCUGAUGCAGCAACGCCGCGUGCGGGAUGACGGCCUUCGGGUUGUAAACCGCUUUCGCCUGUGACGAAGCGAGAGUGACGGUAAUGGGUAAAGAAGCACCGGCUAACUACGUG